CCCAGACUCCUACGGGAGGCAGCAGUGGGGAAUAUUGCACAAUGGGGGAAACCCUGAUGCAGCGACGCCGCGUGAGUGAAGAAGUAUUUCGGUAUGUAAAGCUCUAUCAGCAGGGAAGAAAAUGACGGUACCUGACUAAGAAGCCCCGGCUAACUACGUGCCAGCAGCCGCGGUAAUACGUAGGGGGCAAGCGUUAUCCGGAUUUACUGGGUGUAAAGGGAGCGUAGACGGCAUGGCAAGUCAGAUGUGAAAGCCCGGGGCUCAACCCCGGGACUGCAUUUGAAACUGUCAGGCUGGAGUGCAGGAGAGGUAAGUGGAAUUCCUAGUGUAGCGGUGAAAUGCGUAGAUAUUAGGAGGAACACCAGUGGCGAAGGCGGCUUUCUGGCUCAUAACUGACGCUGAGGCGCGAAAGCGUGGGGAGCAAACAGGAUUAGAUACCCGAGUAAC
rnacentral:rRNA from 1 species